AGCAUAUCAAUAAGCGGAGGAAAAGAAACCAACCGGGAUUGCCCCAGUAACGGCGAGUGAAGCGGCAACAGCUCAAAUUUGAAAUCUGGCGUCCUUGGGCGUCCGAGUUGUAAUUUGCAGAGGGAGCCUCGGGUUGAGGGUCGGUCCAAGUGCCUUGGAACAGGAUACCGCAGAGGGUGAGAGUCCCGUAUCCGGCCGACGACGACGCCCGUGUGAGGCCCCUUCGACGAGUCGAGUUGUUUGGGAAUGCAGCUCUAAAUUGGUGGUAAAUUCCAUCUAAAGCUAAAUACUGGCCAGAGACCGAUAGCGAACAAGUAGAGUGAUCGAAAGAUGAAAAGCACUUUGAAAAGAGAGUCAAACAGUACGUGAAAUUGUUGAAAGGGAAGCGUAUACGGCCAGACUUGGCCGCUGGGUUCAGCCCGUCUUCUGGCGGGCCUACUUCCCAGCGGACAGGCCAGCAUCGGUUCCGGGGGCCGGACAAAGGCGACGGGAAUGUGGCUCCCCUCGGGGAGUGUUAUAGCCCGGCGUGCAAUGCGGCCACCUGGGACCGAGGACCGCGCUUCGGCAAGGAUGCUGGCGUAAUGGCCUUAUACGGCCCGUCUUGAAACACGGACCAAGGAGUCUAACAUCUAUGCGAGUGUUUGGGUGUCAAGCCCGGGCGCGCAAUGAAAGUGAACGGAGGUGGGAGCUUCGGCGCACCAUCGACCGAUCCUGAUGUCUUCGGAAGGAUUUGAGUAAGAGCAUAGCUGUUGGGACCCGAAAGAUGGUGAACUAUGCGUGAAUAGGGUGAAGCCAGAGGAAACUCUGGUGGAGGCUCGCAGCGGUUCUGACGUGCAAAUCGAUCGUCAAAUUUGCGUAUAGGGGCGAAAGACUAAUCGAACCAUCUAGUAGCUGGUUCCUGCCGA
rnacentral:rRNA from 1 species